CUUUGAGCAAGGGGUCUCAUUUUUAUUUCUUGUAAGACCUUUCACAUUAUGGAAUUGGAAAAAAGAAUUGCAAGGCUGGAGAGAUGGGCAAUCUUGGAGACGUCACUCAUGACUAACAUCUUAAGAUACUGAAAUGCUUUAGUCACAAGGUAAUUUGGAAUUGUCUUGAAUGUGCUAGUACACGUGGCAAAAUGGCACGUCAAACAAUGACUGGCUUUCUCUCUCUCGGUGAUUCACCUGCUACGUCUUUAAGAAGUCUGUCAGGGACAUGUGGUGUAAUCCUACACACUGCCAACAGAGACAGGAACCACGCUGGCUGCCUCAUCAAAUAUCUCAGAGGCUACUCGUCCGUCCAUCAUUUGACUCCUCUGAGCCCUACAUUCAGUGUAGAUGAACUGAAUAGCUCCUUUAAGACCAACGCGUCAUGCGAGGAGAACAUGUAGGAUACACAGCAAGCCUUCCCUUUCCCUAUCCCAACAACGCAAUCUGUCUCUUUAUGAAGCAGUGAGGAUCGAGAACUUCAAUCUUGGCAGGGAUCGGGAUGCUUCCCCACUUGGCCAGGAGCUUCAGCUUUUAUUUUUAUUAUUUGUUUUAAAUCUCAAAAUAGCCAAUGAUAAACCUGAUGCUUAAAUGAACUUAACUGGGUCUCUGGAUUCAGCGAGGACUGGUCUUUCUGCCUAUAUAGGAAAAGUAAUAUUUCUACCUUUGAGAGGGGAAGGAUCUGCUUCAACUUUUUGAUUUUGCAACUACAAGAAUAACUUGUUCAGAAAUAAAUGCUUAUUCUGCUUUUUUUCCCU